UGUUCCAAUGAUGAAAACAUAUCAUGAACAAGAGAUUAUAAUUAAUCUAAUUCUGUGUACUAAAAGAAUUUU
rnacentral:snoRNA from 1 species